rnacentral:lncRNA from 1 species
CCCCGCCCCUUCUGGCUUACUCCCGCGGCCCGCCUCCUGCGCAGCGGCUGGUGAGCCGGGCCCGGGGAAUCCGUGCUCUGUCCCGGGGACCGAGUCAGGUCGCCCAGGACAGAGGGACCGAGCGCCUAGGAUCGCUGGGACCUCGCGGCGGGGCGGUGGCGCCAGGAGCAGUGUGGACGCUUGCCGCCGCCGCCAGGUGACUGGAGUUAGCGCUUCCCGAGUCGCAGCCCCCUGGGGGAUGGGCGCUGCUAGGCCAGAUGGACGAGACGACCAAGAAAGGUGGGUGCCUACUGGAGCGGGUGGCCUUCGGGAAGGAGUGCCUCUGCGGAC